rnacentral:rRNA from 1 species
CUCAGUUCGGAUCGGAGUCCGCAACCCGACUCCGUGAAGCUGGAUUCGCUAGUAAUCGCGCAUCAGCCAUGGCGCGGUGAAUACGUUCCCGGGCCUUGUACACACCGCCCGUCAAGCCAUGGGAGCCGGGAGCGCUUGAAGUGCGUCGCCGCGAGGCGCGCCCUAGAGCGAGACCGGUGACUGGGGCUAAGUCGUAACAAGGUAUC